UACGUAGGGGCAAGCGUUGUCCGGAAUCAUUGGGCGUAAAGAGCGUGUAGGCGGCCAGAAAAGUCCGCUGUGAAAACUCGAGGCUCAACCUCGAGACGCCGGUGGAAACCGUAAGGCUAGAGUCCGGAAGAGGAGAGUGGAAUUCCUGGUGUAGCGGUGAAAUGCGCAGAUAUCGAGAGGAACACCUGCGGCGAAGGCGGGUUGCUGGGCUGACACUGACGCUGAUGCGCGAAAGCCAGGGGAGCGAACGGG
rnacentral:rRNA from 1 species